rnacentral:rRNA from 1 species
GACGAACGCUGGCGGCGUGCUUAACACAUGCAAGUCGAACGGAAAGGCCCUGCUUUUGUGGGGUGCUCGAGUGGCGAACGGGUGAGUAACGCGUGAGUAACCUGCCCUUGACUUUGGGAUAACUUCAGGAAACUGGGGCUAAUACCGGAUAGGAGCUCCUGCUGCAUGGUGGGGGUUGGAAAGUUUCGGCGGUUGGGGAUGGACUCGCGGCUUAUCAGCUUGUUGGUGGGGUAGUGGCUUACCAAGGCUUUGACGGGUAGCCGGCCUGAGAGGGUGACCGGCCACAUUGGGACUGAGAUACGGCCCAGACUCCUACGGGAGGCAGCAGUGGGGAAUAUUGCACAAUGGGCGGAAGCCUGAUGCAGCAACGCCGCGUGCGGGAUGACGGCCUUCGGGUUGUAAACCGCUUUCGCCUGUGACGAAGCGUGAGUGACGGUAAUGGGUAAAGAAGCACCGGCUAACUACGUGCCAGCAGCCGCGGUGAUACGUAGGGUGCGAGCGUUGUCCGGAUUUAUUGGGCGUAAAGGGCUCGUAGGUGGUUGAUCGCGUCGGAAGUGUAAUCUUGGGGCUUAACCCUGAGCGUGCUUUCGAUACGGGUUGACUUGAGGAAGGUAGGGGAGAAUGGAAUUCCUGGUGGAGCGGUGGAAUGCGCAGAUAUCAGGAGGAACACCAGUGGCGAAGGCGGUUCUCUGGGCCUUUCCUGACGCUGAGGAGCGAAAGCGUGGGGAGCGAACAGGCUUAGAUACCCUGGUAGUCCACGCUGUAAACGGUGGGUACUAGGUGUGGGGUCCAUUCCACGGGUUCCGUGCCGUAGCUAACGCUUUAAGUACCCCGCCUGGGGAGUACGGCCGCAAGGCUAAAACUCAAAGGAAUUGACGGGGCCCCGCACAAGCGGCGGAGCAUGCGGAUUAAUUCGAUGCAACGCGUAGAACCUUACCUGGGUUUGACAUGGAUCGGGAGUGCUCAGAGAUGGGUGUGCCUCUUUUGGGGUCGGUUCACAGGUGGUGCAUGGCUGUCGUCAGCUCGUGUCGUGAGAUGCUGGGUUAAGUCCCGCAACGAGCGCAACCCUUGUUCACUGUUGCCAGCACGUUAUGGUGGGGACUCAGUGGAGACCGCCGGGGUCAACUCGGAGGAAGGUGGGGAUGACGUCAAGUCAUCAUGCCCCUUAUGUCCAGGGCUUCACGCAUGCUACAAUGGCUGGUACAGAGAGUGGCGAGCCUGUGAGGGUGAGCGAAUCUCGGAAAGCCGGUCUCAGUUCGGAUUGGGGUCUGCAACUCGACCUCAUGAAGUCGGAGUCGCUAGUAAUCGCAGAUCAGCAACGCUGCGGUGAAUACGUUCCCGGGGCU